rnacentral:rRNA from 1 species
AGCGAACGCUGGCGGCAGGCCUAACACAUGCAAGUCGAACGGACCCUUCGGGGUUAGUGGCGGACGGGUGAGUAACACGUGGGAACGUGCCUUUAGGUUCGGAAUAGCUCCUGGAAACGGGUGGUAAUGCCGAAUGUGCCCUUCGGGGGAAAGAUUUAUCGCCUUUAGAGCGGCCCGCGUCUGAUUAGCUAGUUGGUGGUGUAACGGACCACCAAGGCGACGAUCAGUAGCUGGUCUGAGAGGAUGAUCAGCCACAUUGGGACUGAGACACGGCCCAAACUCCUACGGGAGGCAGCAGUGGGGAAUCUUGCGUAAUGGGCGAAAGCCUGACGCAGCCAUGCCGCGUGAAUGAUGAAGGUCUUAGGAUUGUAAAAUUCUUUCACCGGGGACGAUAAUGACGGUACCCGGAGAAGAAGCCCCGGCUAACUUCGUGCCAGCCGCCGCAGUAAAAC